rnacentral:rRNA from 1 species
UACGUAGGGUCCGAGCGUUGUCCGGAUUUAUUGGGCGUAAAGAGCUCGUAGGCGGCUCAGUAAGUCGGAUGUGAAAACUCGGGGCUCAACCCCGAGACGCCAUCCGAAACUGCUGUGGCUUGAAUCUGGUAGGGGAGAUCGGAAUUCCUGGUGUAGCGGUGAAAUGCGCAGAUAUCAGGAGGAACACCAAUAGCGAAGGCAGCUCGCUGGGACGUUACUGACACUGAGGCGCGAAAGCGUGGGGAGCGAACAGG